AUUGAACGCUGGCGGCAGGCCUAACACAUGCAAGUCGAACGAGUGGCGGACGGGUGAGUAAUGUCUGGGAAACUGCCCGAUAGAGGGGGAUAACUACUGGAAACGGUAGCUAAUACCGCAUACUAUCGGAUGUGCCCAGAGUGGAUUCGCUUGUAGGUGAGGUAACGGCUCACCUAGGCGACGAUGCCUAGCUGGUCUGAGAGGCUGACCAGCCACACUGGAACUGAGACACGGUCCAGACUCCUACGGGAGGCAGCAGUGGGGAAUAUUCCACAAUGGGCGCAAGCCUGAUGCAGCCAUGCCGCGUGUAUGAAGAAGGCCUUCGGGUUGUAAAGUACUUUCAGCAGGGAGGCGUUACCCGCAGAAGAAGCACCGGCUAACUCCGUGCCAGCAGCCGCGGUAAUUC
rnacentral:rRNA from 1 species